rnacentral:rRNA from 1 species
CCAAUAGCGUAUAUUAAAGUUGUUGCAGUUAAAAAGCUCGUAGUUGAAUUUCGGGGUUAGUACGCUGGUCGUGCCUUCGGUAUGUACUGGUGUUUCUGAUUCCUACCUUCUGAAGAACCGUCAUGUCAUUAAUUUGGUGUGGCGGGGAAUCAGGACUGUUACUUUGAAAAAAUUAGAGUGUUUAAAGCAGGCUCGCGCUUGAAUACAUUAGCAUGGAAUAAUGAAAUAGGACGUUCGAUCCUAUUUUGUUGGUUUCUAGGAUUGACGUAAUGAUUAAUAGGGAUAGUUGGGGGCAUUAGUAUUCAAUUGUCAGAGGUGAAAUUCUUGGAUUUAUUGAAGACUAACUACUGCGAAAGCAUUUGCCAAGGAUGUUUUCAUUAAUCAAGAACGAAAGUUAGGGGAUCGAAGACGAUCAGAUACCGUCGUAGUCUUAACCAUAAACUAUGCCGACUAGGGAUCGGAUGAUGUUAAUUUUUUAAUGACUCAUUCGGCGCCUUACG